rnacentral:lncRNA from 10 species
GAUUUAUGCAGUGUUUAUAUAAGCUAAACAGAAUCCAACCCUUUCAAAAGACUCCACAGCUGAUAUCAACCAGCCGCCUGACUGCUGCCCUUCCAAUUUGUGGUUUCAACAAAACAACAAACCAGUAUUUCUUCCUGAUAAGAGACCACCAACCAUGGAGUGAUUCUGGCCAGUCUACAAAGGAUGCACUGUAAGGGCUUUUGUGUUCUCUGUGUGUGUACCUUUUGACAUCAGAGAGCCGAAAAUUUCACCCUCAGAUUAUGUUAAUGCUGCCAUUUUUUAAAUGGGACACAUGAAGGGGCAUGAAGCUUAAUUGUGCAUGCACUUAUUUCUUCUUUCAUAAAUAUUAAUUACUGUUCCUGUAGCUUACUGAAUAUGUACAUUUGCCCACCCUGCCCAGCAAAAAUUCCUGUCCCCUUUCUCCUUCCCUUGACGUGUCUGUUGCCAUGUGCAUUAUGCAUUUCAUCUUUUACAACACCAUGCUCAGCUAAAACCAAAAUAAAGAUUCCUGCUUAAGCAUAUUUGAUUCUGUGAGCACAUUUUGUUUAGAAUUAUAUUACUUGUUGAAUUAUGCCUUCCAAAAUAGAAUUUUUAAAAUUAAAUUGUAUUAUUAUGGAUGAUUAUAUGUAAGCCAUUGAUAAUCUUUGUUACUUAUACAAAGAUACAUAAAAUUAUCUGCCAUAUGAAUUAUUAUUAAACAGAUUCAUUAUAAAAUUGAAAAUGUUUAUUGACCUAAUGAGUAUGAAAUUAAAUGAAUUAAAGUUUUCUCAUCUCUAAGGCAGGGGCUAGAAGAUGUUUUCUGUAAAGGUCUGGAUAGUUAAUAUUUUUGGCUUUGUGGACCAUAAGCUUUCUCUGCCAACCACUCAGCUCUGCUGUUACAACAUGAAAGUAGCAACAGACAGCACUUAAAGAAUGAAGGUGGCCAGAUUUGGCCCAGUUGUGAAGCUAUAGUUUUCAGAUCCUGCUCUUAGGAAUGAUUUUUUUUACUUAGGUUUAUUGUAGUUGCUGCUUGCUUUCAUUUUAACACUGAAAUCUCAAUGGCAUUAAGAUAAAGCCCAAAAGGGCAGCACCUAAUAUUAAAAUGGUUAACAGUCAUAAAAUGAUUUAAUAGAUGUCAUUUAGACUCUGGCUUUGCCUCUAGCCAUGAUGGGUUGUAUUUUUGAGAACUAUCCUUCCUGAUGGAAAAGUGUUCUUAGUAACUGAGCUGAGGUAUUUUGAUCAUGGUUAAUUUGUAACAGUCCUUAAAAUAGCCCUGUGUUCAAAAACCAGUUGAAAAUCCUCCCAAAUAGCUUCUAAAGAUAUAUUUCUUACUCGUUUCAGGUCUCUGUUGAAAUGUCUCCUCAGUAAGGUUUUCUUUUUGAUUCUCCAAUACAAAAUUGCAAUACCCUCAGGAACUCUUUGACACUUCCUCUUCCCUGCUUUAUUUUUUCAAACUACUUAUCAAACUACAUAUGUUUUAUUUCACCAUUUACAUUUUAGUUUCUGUCUCCUCUCACUUGAAUGUAAGUUAUACAAACAGAAGAAUUUUCAUGGUUUUUGCUCAUUGUUGUAUUUUCAGUACCAAGAAAUGC